rnacentral:rRNA from 1 species
UACAGAGGGUGCGAGCGUUAAUCGGAAUUACUGGGCGUAAAGCGCGCGUAGGCGGCUUUGCAAGUCGGGUGUGAAAGCCCCGGGCUCAACCUGGGAAUUGCAUUCGAGACUGAAUAGCUAGGGUACGGUAGAGGGAAGUGGAAUUUUCCGGUGUAGCGGUGAAAUGCGUAGAUAUCGGAAGGAACAUCAGUGGCGAAGGCGGGUCUCUGGGCCGAUAUUGACGCUGAGGAGCGAAAGCGUGGGGAGCGAACAGG